rnacentral:misc_RNA from 1 species
GAAAUGCGAUAAGUAAUGUGAAUUGCAGAAUUCAGUGAAUCAUCGAAUCUUUGAACGCACAUUGCGCCCGCCCGUAUUCUGGCGGGCAUGCCUGUCCGAGCGUCAUUUCAACCAUCAAGCCCCCGGGCUUGUGUUGGGGACCUGCGGCUGCCCGCAGGCCCUGAAAACCAGUGGCGGGCUCGCUGUCACACCGAGCGUAGUAGCAAUCACCUCGCUCAGGGCGUGCUGCGGGUUCCGGCCGUUAAACAGCCUUACAAAACCCAAGGUUGACCUCGGAUCAGGUAGGAAGACCCGCUGAACUUAAGC